rnacentral:rRNA from 1 species
UGGCGGACGGGUGAGUAACGCGUGGGUAACCUGCCUCAUACAGGGGGAUAACAGUUAGAAAUGACUGCUAAUACCGCAUAAGCGCACAGGACCGCAUGGUCCGGUGUGAAAAACUCCGGUGGUAUGAGAUGGACCCGCGUCUGAUUAGCUGGUUGGUGAGGUAACGGCCCACCAAGGCGACGAUCAGUAGCCGGCCUGAGAGGGUGAACGGCCACAUUGGGACUGAGACACGGCCCAAACUCCUACGGAAGGCAGCAG